CCUACGGGUGGCAGCAGUGGGGAAUAUUGCACAAUGGGGGAAACACUGAUGCAGCAACGCCGCGUGAGUGAAGAAGUUAUUCGUGAUGUAAAGCCCUAUCAGCAGGGAAGCAAAUGACGGUACCUGACUAAGAAGCCCCGGCUAACUACGUGCCAGCAGCCGCGGUAAUACGUAGGGGGCAAGCGUUAUCCGGAUUUACUGGGUGUAAAGGGAGGGUAGACGGCGACGCAAGUCUGAAGUGAAAUGCCAGUGCUCAACACUGGAACUGCUUUGGAAACUGGGUGGCUAGAGUGCAGGAGAGGUAAGUGGAAUGCCGAGUGUAGCGGUGAAAUGCGUAGAUAUUGGGAGGAACUCCAGUGGCGAAGGCGGCUUGCUGGACUGUAACUGACGUUGAGGCUCGAAGGCGUGGGGAGCAAACAGGAUUAGAUACCCUUGUAGUC
rnacentral:rRNA from 1 species